AACGAACGCUGGCGGCAGGCCUAACACAUGCAAGUCGAGCGAGGACUUCGGUCCUAGCGGCGGACGGGUGAGUAACGCGUGGGAACGUGCCCCUUGGUACGGAAUAGCCCCGGGAAACUGGGAGUAAUACCGUAUGAGCUCUACGGAGGAAAGAUUUAUCGCCAAGGGCAUCGGCCCGCGUUGGAUUAGGUAGUUGGUGGGGUAAUGGCCUACCAAGCCGACGAUCCAUAGCUGGUUUGAGAGGAUGAUCAGCCACACUGGGACUGAGACACGGCCCAGACUCCUACGGGAGGCAGCAGUGGGGAAUCUUAGACAAUGGGCGCAAGCCUGAUCUAGCCAUGCCGCGUGAGCGAUGAAGGCCUUAGGGUUGUAAAGCUCUUUCAGCGAGGAAGAUAAUGACUGUACUCGCAGAAGAAGCCCCGGCUAACUCCGUGCCAGCAGCAGCCGCCGUAA
rnacentral:rRNA from 1 species